rnacentral:rRNA from 1 species
UACGUAGGGUGCAAGCGUUGUCCGGAAUUAUUGGGCGUAAAGAGCUCGUAGGCGGUUCGUCGCGUCGGCUGUGAAAUCCCGAGGCUCAACCUCGGGUCUGCAGUCGAUACGGGCGGACUGGAGUUCGGCAGGGGAGACUGGAAUUCCUGGUGUAGCGGUGAAAUGCGCAGAUAUCGGGAGGAACACCAGUGGCGAAGGCGACUUCCUGGCCUGUUCUUGACGCUGAGGCGCGAAAGCUAGGGUAGCAAACGGG